UUAGUAGAGACGGGGUUUCACUGUGUUAGCCAGGAUGGUCUCGAUCUCCUGACCUUGUGAUCCGCCCGUCUCGGCCUCCCAAAGUGCUGCGUCAUCUACAUUCUUUUCUCCUAUUGUUAGCUUUUUCCCCCUGACACUUCAUCUAUUUACUGAUUUACUUGUAAUCUCUUCUCUGGAAGAUAUUAGUACUAGCCAUAAAAUAUUUCUAUUUCUUUUUCCACACACAUAGUAAUUUGGAUUUCCCUACUCCUUUUACCUGAAGAGUGGCCAAUGAAAUGUGAUUGGAAGUGACUUGUGUCAUUUCCAAAUAAAAGCUUUAAGAGCCUGUGAACAUUUAUCCUGCUCUCUUUCUGCCGAGAGUGAUGAAAUAUUUUAAUUAUCUAUUGUUCCAUGACAAAGCACCUUAAAUCUUAAUGGUUUAAGGCAGUCACCAUUUUAUUAUCUGUAACGGUUUUGUGGGUUGACUAGGCUCAUGGGCAGUUGUCUAAUCUUACUUAGGGUCUCUCGUGGUUCCAGCCUGGUAUUGUCUGGGGCUGGAGUUUUUGGAGGCUCAAGUGGGUUGAUAGAGUAGCUGAGCUCUACCCAUGCGGUUCCAAAGACUCUGAUUCGCAUGGCUUCUUCAGCAGAGUAGCCUGACUUCAUGCAUGGUGGCUUAGGAUUCUCAAAUGCAAAAAAGCAAAAACUUCCAGGUUUUGUCUUAGGUCUGGAAAUGACAUGUUGUAUUGGUAAAAGCAGUCACAGGGCCAGCUCAAUUUUAAGGGGAGAGGAAAUAAACACUUGAUAGGGGUGGAGGGAGAGUGACAAAGAAUUUGUGGCCAUCUUUAUUACAGACAUUUUUGUCAACCACAGAGUUCCAAGAAAAUGUGGCCAUCUUUAAUCACUACUCCAAUGAUGUUUCAAAUUGUGUGAGCUUCCUUCAGCCAGGGUCUCGGAGACAGGACAAAGUGGAAAAUGGCUCCCUGCUAACCCAUACAUAGGUAUAUGAAUAAGAAAUACAUCUCUGCUGUCCUGAGUCACUUAGCUAUUUGGAGUUGUUUGGUAUCAACUUUUGCACACUAAUAGAAAAAUUGGUACUGGAAAUAGGGUGGGGCUAUAACAAAAAUCUAAAAUAUGAGUCACUGACAUAUAUAAUAAUUGUGUUAGAAAUAUUAGUGGUUGGUUGGUAGGCAGCAUCCAGCUUUGACUCACUUAUGCAUUUCCCAGUGAACCUAGCUCAGAAGUUUGCACCAUGAUAAUCAAUAAAUAGUUCUUAAAUAUGAGAGAUUGUUUCUUGUAAUUUUUCCCUAUUUUAGGGAAAAACAUUUUUUUUCCCCAUAUCACAUGUUUCUUGAAACAUGGAGUGCCAUGAACAUAUUAUUUGAUGCUCUGUUCCAAGGGCACCAGUGAGUUUACUGAUAUGUAAGUUUGGCUCCUGGAUAGCCCACCUUCUUCCUCUCCGCUUUCUCUUGGGAGCCAUCCUGAUCAUGGAAAGUGUGCUUUCUCCUCUGCUACCUCACACAAGUUUUAAAAGAGCUUGUUCCUGCCAAGGGAGGCUUGGGGUAAGCCGAACAGCGUCAGCUCCCUGGGGGAAGGGAAAUUUCAGGUUUGGAGCUAAGUUCACUUCCAGGGAGUGACAAAGCCUGUUUGAACUUUAAUUCACAGCGUAAAAGAGUUCAGUGUUGGGCAUUCAUGACUUUGGACUUUAACAUGAAGUUGGUAGUGAUUACUUUGGGCUAUAAUUUAGAGUGAUUUAAUCUCUGAACUUUUAAUUUCUCUCUGGAAAAUUAAUACUGGGAGAGGGUCAAAAUCAAAUUGAGAACAUCUUGGUUCUUAGUUAUUAAAGUAUUUGAUCACAUUUUAGAAAUUUUGAUAAUGUUAGACAAGCUGACAGGACAUAGUUUGAGAUGGCAAUGAACAUAUUGUGAAUUACAGCCUUGGGGACAGAAUAGCAUUGGAACUGAUGUAAUCGAUAUAUUGUUCUGACCCAUUCAGGGCAUUUUGGGGACAGACUCUACAGUUUACUAGUGGCCCCAGGAAGUCCUACAAAACAGGUGAAAUCAGUAUUGGAGAAGUGGUCUCAUGAGGAUGGGAGCAGGAUUACUCCAAUUGAUUGCUGACUUCUCACCCUAGGAAAUAACCGUAUCCCAACCUGAUCUCAGUGGAUAAGCCCACAGGGUUAAGAAUCUCAUGGACAUCACUCUAGCACUUGCUGCAUGCCAGACCCUCUGCUUCACCUCAUUUACCCUACAACUACCAUGGCACUAUUGUCCCCAGAGUAAUCAUCAUGCUCCAUUUUGUUUUUGAGCCAUCUUCAGCCUUUGAGUCCUUAAGCUUUUUGGAGACAGUUUGUGGAGAAGGUCCUCACAACAUUGUGCAACAGGUGUGAAAGAUGAAGUCUCCAUUUACAGCUGCUGAAAUAGGCUGAGAGAGGUUCAUCUAGGGGUGAUUGAGGCUACAAAAUUUAUGCCACGUUUUCAACUGUCAAGGCUGCUUUCAGAAUCCAGAGGAGGCCUAUGCUGAACAACAAAAGAGAGUCCAAGAGCAACCUGAACAGGUGAGAAAUUUUCCCUUAUUAGACAUAAAAAGGAGGCAUGCAUGUGAAGUCCCACACCUAAAUAUUCUUUUAAAUUUCUGUUGCCCUAAGGGCACACUGUGACUUCUCUUCCACUUGUUCUUCCUUUGGGCAGUUCCAGUCAGCUUUGCCAUUGUACAUAACAGGAAGUGGAGUGCUCUUGCAAGGAAGGCCUAGAGUUACAGGAGACAAACCACUGAAUUAAUUUCUAACAAAUUAACAGAGAUUCUACUUGUCUCAUUCAUGCUGUAAAACUGCAAGCCUACAGUUGCAUUUGUUUUCACUUCUACCUAAGACGAGCAGGGCUCUGAUGCUAUCUCUGGGAUGGCAUGGGUGUGUUUGUGCAAGGGCAGGCCUUCCUUGUCUGCCAGAGCAGGUCCCUGCCUGAUAAGGCCACACCAGGCCUCUCAGCUCCCUAGGGAGUCAUCCCAUGCAUUGUGAAAAUUUUACCAUGACCCAGUUUGUUCCAUGUGUUGUUUUAUUGAAUUUCAUACUGAUGAACAUCAAUUAUUAUUAAGUUCCUGCUGUGUUCCAAAUAUGCCCUAAACAUUUUAUGUAAUGCAUGGGGGUCCUCAGUUCCAUGUAGUUUUAAAAUGGAGAUGUAUAUAUAAGCACACUGACAUUAUCAUAUUAGAACUAAAUAGAAGCUUAUCUUUUAGGAAAAAUUUGAAUUCUUUUUUUAAAAAAAAUUGCAAGUAUCUUUGUAAUUGAUUAAUAAACAAUACAUUGUUUAUUGUAAAUUUUUUUGUAAUACAGACGCAUGAAGAAGAAAGUAUAAAGGAUGAGAAAUUCUGCUUCCUAGAAAUAACUACUGUUAGAGUUUUGAUGAACAUUCUUUGAGACAUCUUGCUAUACAUACACACACAUAUAUAUUAUACAUACAUAAUUUUACAUAAAUGGAUUUAUAAUAUACUUACUAUUUGUAACCUGCUUUUUUUUUUCACUCAGCAGUAUGUCAGGAACUAGUUUCCCUAUCAAUAAAUGUAGACCCACAUAAUUAUAUCCAAUUGUAGCAGAAUGUUCAAUUAUAUCACCUGUAAUUUAACUAAUUCCUUAUUAAUGGAAUUUAAAUAAUUUCCAAUUCUUUAAAACAUUAUAAACAAUCAUUGCACCUGUCUCUCCAAUUAUACUCUUAGCACACAUUCCCUGGAGGUGGAUCCUUUGUUGGGUCAAAGGAUAUGAGCAUUGAAAUUUUUGAGACAUAAUGCCACACUUGACUCAAACACCAACCCCCUUGAUUCAGAUGCUGUUGAUGCCCCGCCCAUAUCUUCUUGGUCCACUCCAGAGGCCUCUCAGAUGGAACAAGUUUAUAGCCUGUUGAGUGUCUCUGCCAGGAAUAUUCGCUAGCUGUGGAGCCCAUUCACAGUCAGGGAAGCAUGAAGUGCUGGAAGUGCACUGGAAGUUAAUGUGACCCCUAACUGCGAAACGAUGGGGACUUGUGGAUAAAUGCUUCAGUUUCCUUUCCCCGAGGUGGGACUAUUCUAACGUGUGUUGUACACAGUCCCUAGGAGAAUUUAGUCUAGUUGCAUGUAGUAGCAUCCUCCUCAUUAACUCACAAGUUAUCUGCUUUCCUCCCUUACUACCUGACUGCCCCACUCCUUUACUGGGCUUCAUUGGACUUCUACUCAAAUCCUAGUCUCAGGGUCCACUUUCACAGGAGCCCAGAUGAAGACAUCCUUCAUAUUACAGGUGAAAGUUGUGGUAGGUACAAUAAUGGCUCCUUAAAGAUAUCCAUAUCUUAGAUUGCUGGAACUUGUGAAAAUGUUACCUUACUUGGAAAAAGGGACUUUGGAAAUGUAAUCACAUAUGUAAUCACAUCUUAAGAACCUUGAGAUAGGAAAGUUAUCCUGUAUUAUCUGGGUGGCCCUGAUGUGAUUACAAGCAUCCUUAAAAGUGGAGGAGGAAGGCAGAAGAAGAGAGUCAGAAGGAGAUGUGAAGAAUCAGAGAUGCAGCAUUGCUGGCUUUGAAGAUGGAGGAGAGCCAUGAGCCAAGGAGUGUGGGUGACCUCUAGAAGCUGGAAAAGGCAUGAAAACAGAUUUACCCCUGGAGCCUCCAGCAUGGAACCUAGUUCUGCUGACACCUUGAUUUUAGCCCAGUGACUUCUAUAUUGGACUUCUAACCUACAGUACUGUAAGAUAACAAAUUUGUGCCACGUUUGUGGUAAUCUGUUAUGGCAGCGUUAAAAAACGAACACAAAAUGUUAAACAAUACAAGGCAACGGAUGCCAGAAGCAUCAUAUGGCAGUGCCUAUUGUUCCAAAAGAGGAGCGUGAACAAUGAGGCUGAGAAAAGGAUGAAAUCAUGAAACUUGUUCCUUCCUCUUGAGCACAGAGUGGUUUGCUGUGGGUGUUUAGAGUAGUGAGUUAAUGACCACUAAAGAUAGGCCUGUGGCCGGAAACCGUCCCAAUGAGCUGAGGGUUUGUACGAAUUUUAAUUUGCUUGAAAAUUCCGUCAGGUUUCUGAAAAUUUUAGUGUGUAUAAAAAUUAUCUGGGAAAAUAAAAAGUUAAAAAAAAAGAUCAUCUGAGGAAUUUGUUUAAAAUGUAGAUUCUUGGAUCCCAUUUGCCAGAGGUUCUAAUUCAAAGGUCUGGAAUAAGGUCCAGGAAUUUGCAUUUAAAACCAGAUUACUCUGACACACAUUGCUUUAAGGGACUCUCCUACUAGAAACCCCUGCUGUUUGACAGUUGUGGGGGAGGUCUACACGGCACCCACUUUGUCAGGCAGUUUGUGUAGGUAAGAUCAGAAGAGAAAGGAAUCACUAGAAAAUUUCUAUUAUUGUAUCACAUCCAAAUAUCCUAGUUUUGUUUCUGUUUGGGGGUGUCAGUCACAACAGUCAUUAGUAUCAACUGGAAGCCCGAAUGUAAUAGAUGGGGUGGCCUGUGUCACCAGAGGCAGAGCAUCUGGGCCCUGGGCCCCUGAGGAUUGUCUGAUCUUAUGAUUGGUUUGCUUACAAUAGCAUUUUCUCAUUUGGCUGAUGGGCAAAUCGUUUUCAGAUGACCUUGGAGAGCCGGGGUAGUUUGGCUGUUACUAACUGGAAGCUGCACACUCAAACAUUUGGAAUAUUCUGAGGAUUACAGAUGUGCUGAAGGGUGUCUUGGAUCUCCUCCAGUGAGGGUUUCAGAGGUCAUCUGAAAAGAAUGCUCGCCUCUGCCUUAUGCCUUUUAGAAGGAGGCUCUGUGCUUGUCUAGCUUUAUGCAGCUCUCUGAAAUGUCAGAAGAUAAGAAAUGCCUCUCAGCACGAAGGCUUCCAGACACAUAUGUGACAAGAAAUUUGGCAUCAGCUUUACAAGUGUCAGAUGUCUAGGAUAAAGCAAUAUGGGUAUAGUAUUUCUGGUGCUAUUUUGGUGCCUUGUGCAUGAGCCUGCAGCAUUAGAAAAACUGCUUUUCAGCUUUGGAUGAUAGCCUUACUGGCGUUCGGCAUGCAUGUCUGAAAGUACAGUUGGGUCAUAUUCUAGUUAUGGUCCACAGCAAGUCACCUAGAGUUGUGAUAUUGAGCUUUAAGGGAGUGCCCUUGAGGCACACGGGCAUUUCACAGCCUUUGACAACUUGAGUGGCACAGCCACAGAGACUGUCAUCAGAUGGUGCCAUAUAAGCCUUAAUCAACUCUUGCAACACCCGUGCAAAGUUGGUAAACACUCUUAUCCUCGCUUUUCAGGCAGGGAACUAAAGCAAGGAGAGGUCCAACAGACAGGGUCACAGACUCAGUCAGUUCACUUAUCUUACUGUUGAAUGAUCUCAGGUGAAUGAGAUCAGAACAAAUUUCUACUUUCUCUAACUCAGGGAAUAUGUCUCCUGGCGAGAGAGCAUUUUUGGCACUUUGUGACUUGCUGAAAGACUUGAAGUUCCCAGCCUGGCUGUGGCUGUUCAUUGGUUAAGAGCAAAUGCCUGGGGCACUUGGCUUAAUGACUGUCAUAAGCAGUGUGAAAAAAUGUGUAAGAAAAAACAAAAUAUGGUAAUGUAGAGAGGUUGUUAAGGCAGUAAUAUCCAAUAGGAAUACUGCGUAUAAAGUCUGAGUGAUAAUACAACCCUCUUACCCAAGGUAUUUGAUACUGGCUGAGGCCUCUUUUAUUUAUUUAAAAUCCAGUGGUGAGCUCUAAACACCAUAGUUUAAGAAGAUAAAAAAAUACUUACAGUGGAGAAUUUUCUGAAUGAUUGAAAAAUGGAAGUAGAAGACCCAUGAGAAAAGAUGAAAGCAUUGCUCUUAAUUUGUGGAAAGAAAGUUGAUGGGAAAUUAUGAGGUCUGUAAAUAUAUCACAAGGUUUUUAGAGAAGACAAAUUAAUUUUCCACUGAUGACAAAACUUGAAAAAGUGGGUUUAUCUUAGAGAUUGAAAGAGUCAUAGGAAAGAAUCUUCUGGUGUUGAGAAUGGUUAAAAACCAGACUAGGCUACUUAGAAAGGAAUUUCUCUCUUUCGAAGGUCCUUAGUAAAUAGGCUAAACCAUCCCGGCAUGAUCAAGGUUAAUGAUGUCAACUGGUGUCUCCAGCGCCCUAAGGUGGGUUGCCAGUAGUGAUCAUGGUCGGAUUACUUUUUUUUUUUUCAACUUUUCAGUUUGAAAUAAUUUUAGACUUACAGAAAAGUUGCAAACUAGUAUACAGAGUUCCCAUAUAUCCCAGCUUCUCCUGGUGUUAACAUUUUACACAACCAUGAUCAAAUGAUCCAGUGAUCAAAACCAAUAAAUUAACAUUGCUGCAAAAUGGUGUAGGGGCUUCGAGUGAAGGGAAAAUAGGUAGGACUGUGGACUUUCACAAUCCUUCCAUGGAGCAGAUUGCUUUUAUUUAUUUAUGUUGUAAUUCCAUGUACUAUUUUAUUUAAACACAUAGUUCUAUUGCAAAAAUUUGAAAACCAAGUUUAGGAAGAGAGAUAGUUUAGCUGACCUCUACUACUAAGAUUUUGUGCUUUUGAUAAUUAUAUCAUUUGUCAGAUAAUUAGAGGGUAAAUGUGUUUGGUAAAGACAUUUAUGGAUGCAAUGUAAUGCUACAUAUACAUUUUUGUUCGUUUCUUGAUCCAUUCAGGCUUGUUCUGCUGUAAGCAGGUUAUUUGUACUUGCUUGCUCUCCAGCACCAAAAACCAUGACUGGCACAUAGUCUAUGCUUAAUUAAUAUUUGUUCAAUGGGCCAGGUGUGGUGGCUCACACCUGUAACCCCAGCACUUUGGGAGGUUGA